AUGGCUGAACCCAACUCGUGUGAGGAGCAGUGCAGGAGGCAGGUGGAGGAGAACAAGCGGAAGCUGGAGGAGCUGCGCUUGCACCGCCUCUCCGUCGCCGUGCGCGAGGCCGCCGUCAAGCCGAAGCCGGUCAGUUCAAGCCCAUGCCUCCUUCCUGACAAAAGACCAAGCUACCGAGGCGGUGUCGCGAUGCCCCGACUCGGCUGUCCGGCAGGGUCGCCGGUCUGCCCGAGCAACCCGAUUACCGCGACAGAAAAAUCAGGUACACCCAUGCGCACCCAAACUGUUCUUUCCAACGAAUUUUUAUGCAUAGGAAUAGGAAGUAUACUACUUACUACUCCAUUACUUGGUUGUCUUUCAGGGGAGGGGCAUAUGUCGAUAGAAGGCAAUUGCCACCUGAUGAUGUGUACGCCACCGACGAAGCGAGCGCCUACGCCCUCACCAAGGCUGAAGAGCUCAAGAGCCAGCUGUGCUUCGACCACCCCUCCUUCGUCAAGCCCAUUUGCUAUAAAACUGCCACAGCUAGCUGCCUGCGCAUACCUCAGCUAUUCAAAGAGUGGUAUCUCCCGUGGUGUAAUGAGAUGA
rnacentral:rRNA from 1 species